CUUGAGCACGUAGGUGGGUUUGUAAGUCAGGUGUGAAAGCCUUCUGUUCAACGGGAGAAUUGCAUCUGAAACUACGAAUCUUGAGUGUAGGAGGGGAGAAUGGAACUUCUGGUGGAGCGGUGAAAUGCGUAGAUAUCAGAAGGAACGCCGGCGGCGAAAGCGAUUCUCUGGCCUAUUACUGACACUCAGUGUGCGAAAGCUAGGGGAGCAAACGGGAUUAGAUACCCCGGUAGUCCUAGCCGUAAACGAUGGGCACUAAGUAGUGGGAAUUACCGAUGUUCUCUCUGCCGUAGCUAACGCAUUAAGUGCCCCGCCUGGGGAGUACGGCCGCAAGGCUAAAACUCAAAAGAAUUGACGGGGGCUCGCACAAGCGGUGGAGCAUGUGGCUUAAUUCGAUGCAACGCGAAAAACCUUACCGGGGCUUGACAUGUUAGAAGUAGGAACCUGAAAGGGUAACGAACGGUAUCCAGUCCGUAGCUAUCACAGGUGUUGCAUGGCUGUCGUCAGCUCGUGUCGUGAGACGUUGGGUUAAGUCCCCUAACGAGCGAAACCCUUGUUUUUAGUUACCAGCGGGUUGUGCCAGGUACUCUAGAAAGACUGCCGUCGUCAAGACGGAGGAAGGUGGGGAUGACGUCAAGUCAUCAUGGCCCUUAUGCCCCGGGCUGCACACGCGCUACAAUGGUCGGUACAAACGGAAGCGAAGCCGAGAGGUGAAGCGAAUCCAAGC
rnacentral:rRNA from 1 species